rnacentral:rRNA from 1 species
GCCUUACGGGGUGCAGCAGGCGCGAAAACUUUACAAUGCCGGUAACGGCGAUAAGGGAACCUCGAGUGCCAGGUUACAAAUCUGGCUGUUGUGAUGCCUAAAAAGCAUUGCAUAGCAAGGGCCGGGCAAGACCGGUGCCAGCCGUUGUGGUAACACCGGCGGCUCGAGUGGUAACCGUUAUUAUUGGGUCUAAAGGGUCUGUAGCCGGCCGGAUAAGUCUCUUGGGAAAUCCAGCAGCUUAACUGUUGGGCCUUCAGGAGAUACUGUCUGGCUCGAGGCCGGGAGAGGUGAGAGGUACUUCAGGGGUAGGGGUGAAAUUUUGUAAUCCUUGAAGGACCACCAGUGGUGAAGGCGUCUCACCAGAACGGACCUGACGGCAAGGGACGAAAGCUAGGGGCACGAACCGGAUUAGAUACCCGGGUAGUCCUAGCCGUAAACGAUACUCGCUAGGUGUCGGCCACGGUGCGACCGUGGUCGGUGCCGUAGGGAAGCCGUGAAGCGAGCCACCUGGGAAGUACGGCCGCAAGGCUGAAACUUAAAGGAAUUGGCGGGGGAGCAC